rnacentral:rRNA from 1 species
UUGCACGCUGGCGGCAGGCCUAACACAUGCAAGUCGAACGGUAACAGGAAGAAGCUUGCUUCUUUGCUGACGAGUGGCGGACGGGUGAGUAAUGUCUGGGAAACUGCCUGAUGGAGGGGGAUAACUACUGGAAACGGUAGCUAAUACCGCAUAACGUCGCCAGACCAAAGAGGGGGACCUUCGGGCCUCUUGCCAUCGGAUGUGCCCAGAUGGGAUUAGCUAGUAGGUGGGGUAACGGCUCACCUAGGCGACGAUCCCUAGCUGGUCUGAGAGGAUGACCAGCCACACUGGAACUGAGACACGGUCCAGACUCCUACGGGAGGCAGCAGUGGGGAAUAUUGCACAAUGGGCGCAAGCCUGAUGCAGCCAUGCCGCGUGUAUGAAGAAGGCCUUCGGGUUGUAAAGUACUUUCAGCGGGGAGGAAGGGAGUAAAGUUAAUACCUUUGCUCAUUGACGUUACCCGCAGAAGAAGCACCGGCUAACUCCGUG